rnacentral:lncRNA from 1 species
GAGAACUGGCAUAUGCACUCAAUAACUUUGACAAACAAAUCAUUGUGGACCCCUUGAGCUUCAGCGAGGAGCGCUUUAGGCCUUCCCUGGAGGAGCGUCUGGAAAGCAUCAUUAGUGGGGCUGCCUUGAUGGCCGACUCGUCCUGCACGCGUGAUGACCGUCGUGAGCGAAUUGUGGCAGAGUGUAAUGCUGUCCGCCAGGCCCUGCAGGACCUGCUUUCGGAGUACAUGGGCAAUGUGAGUUUGACAGCUUUUCUUUGAAGUAAGAUAUUUAUGGAUGAGGAGUUUUCUAUAACAUGUUGGAUCUGAGAUGUUUUCACUAUAAAUACCAAAUAUGUCCUUGACUCCUUGAUUUUUGGGAGUAGGUCAGAUUUUUAAAGAAAUGGAUAAAUGGCUAAGUGGCUCUUUCCUCUCUCCAGCUUAUUGAGAAAUUUUCAACUUAUAAAAAUCAUACAGUGAAUACCUAGGAAAUUUAUCUGUAUUCAUCAAUUAACAUGUAGAUACAUGUGUAGGUGUGUGUAUAUAUAAAUGUAUAUGUAUGUAUGGUAUAUACACAAACAUCCUUUUUUCCCCCGAAGCCUUUGGAAGAAAGUUGUAGACAUUGUGAUGCUUCACCUCUAAUAUUUUAGCAUGCCUCUCCAAAGAAUAAUGACCUUCUAUACCACUAAAGUUUCAUUAUCCCAAGUAGGUGGCUAAUUUUGGGCAAAAGGGAAUGUUGAAAACCUGCCUCCUCAAUAUUUAUAGUUGUGAA